GGCGGGAGCAGAUGCCCCGCGGGGUCGGGGCGCCCAGGGGAAGGCGGAGGCGUUUCCGCGAGCACCAGAGUCGCGAGCUAAGGAAGCGCGAGGGGCCCCGCGCCCCGCCGUGUCAUGACGUCAAAUGUCACUUUCCUUGCGCGCUCCGCGACGUCAGGGCAUAGGGGCUGUGACUCGCAGGGCGACAGGGAGGGCGCCGGGCGAGAGGACAAAAAAAGCUUCCCUCUGGAGGACGGAGAUAUUCCCCCUCCCCCCAAUUUGGCUCAUUGUAAUAACGUGUUAGUUUGAAGACCGACUAAAGAACGUUUUGGUUCUUUUAUUAGACCAACUAAAUAGCGGCAAAGAAGUUAUUUGCAAGCAGCCCACCUGUAGCCGUGCAAAUAACGUUUUUCUUUUUUUUUUGCCACUAUUUAGUUGGUGUAAAAAAAAAGAGAUCGCCUCUUCCACGAGUUGUGAUCCCUUCUUAUCCGACAGCUGCAUUUGUUUCACUAGUCAAGUGUGUUUCCCAUUGUGGACAAACUCUUUGGGUAGAGGCAAUCUCUUUUGUUAGACCAACUAAAUAAUGGCAGGAAAAAAAAAAAAAAGUUAUGUGCACGGCUACAGGUGGGCUGCUUGCAGAUAACUUCUUUGCCACUAUUUAGUCGGUCUAACAAAAGAGAUCGCCUCUACCCAAAAAGUUCAUUGGCCUCUGUGGUUAAGCCAACAUGGCUACAGCCUAGAUCCCUCUCUGUAGUAGUGUCUUUCUUCCUCUUCAGGACAUCUUCAACGCUGGCAUAUUUGCAGCUCAAGGCUGUGGGGAAAAUCUAAUUCUGCCCCUGUGGAAAGGAAAGGAAAUGAAGGCGGCACUGACAGGAAGCUCCCUUUGGCGCCUCUUGCUGCCACCUGAAGACAGUCUUUGUUAGGUCCAGCCCCUCCUCACCACCCAGUAGAAAAAUAUGUAGAAAGCCAUGGCAGUCAGGUCUGGUUUAGCUACUGACAAAAUCACAUCUUUGGAAAAAAGUUAAUGGUCAAAGUUUUAGACCAAGUUUUGGAGGUGUGCCCAAUAUUAACAGCAUAAUGUGCUUAUGAUUGAUGCUGUAAUGUUAUUGUAUUCGAUUUAACUGCAGGAUAACUCGGGCUGGAGAUGGUGAAGGGGAAGCAGCUGCCAAAGGGCUUCCAUUAGAAGCUUUGCAAUGGUUGGGAGCUAAACACCUGGCAGAGCAGCUCUGGAGCGACUAGAAGACGCCUUCAAAGUGACCAAAACAAGUCAGUUUCCAGGCUGCUAAUGCCACCAGAAACUCUGCAAACUACCUUGCAUCUGUCUAUCUGCUAAGCAAGUGAAUUCUGAAGAGUUAAGAGUUAAGCUGUAAACCAGAAAGUUAUACAAGCUAUGAACUGACUGCCCAGAGGAAUUUUCCUUCUGUUGACUCCUCUGUGAAAUCCUAUGAAAUACAAACUUCCAUUUCUACCCAGGAGAACUUUUACAAUCUUUUCUCCAAUGCCUGAUUGGGGAUGUUUGUGCCCAAAAGCUCACAAUUAAAGAUUUUUUUUUCAACCA